CAAAAAUUAAUAUAUAUAAUAUAUCUCACUUACAUUGAGAAGAUAAUUAAUUAGGUAAUUAUUUUUGA
rnacentral:tRNA from 1 species